GACGAACGCUGGCGGCGUGCUUAACACAUGCAAGUCGAACGGAAAGGCCCUGCUUUUGUGGGGUGCUCGAGUGGCGAACGGGUGAGUAACACGUGAGUAACCUGCCCUUGACUUUGGGAUAACUUCAGGAAACUGGGGCUAAUACCGGAUAGGAGCUCCUGCUGCAUGGUGGGGGUUGGAAAGUUUCGGCGGUUGGGGAUGGACUGGCGGCUUAUCAGCUUGUUGGUGGGGUAGUGGCUUACCAAGGCUUUGACGGGUAGCCGGCCUGAGAGGGUGACCGGCCACAUUGGGACUGAGAUACGGCCCAGAAUCCUACGGGAGGAAGCAGUGGGGAAUAUUGCACAAUGGGCGGAAGCCUGAUGCAGCAACGCCGCGUGCGGGAUGAAGGCCUUCGGGUUGUAAACCGCUGUCGCCUGUGACGAAGCGUGAGUGACGGUAAUGGGUAAAGAAGCACCGGCUAACUACGUG
rnacentral:rRNA from 1 species